AGAGUUUGAUCCUGGCUCAGGAUGAACGCUAGCUACAGGCUUAACACAUGCAAGUCGAGGGGAAACGACAUCGAAAGCUUGCUUUUGAUGGGCGUCGACCGGCGCACGGGUGAGUAACGCGUAUCCAACCUGCCCAUCACUUGGGGAUAACCUUGCGAAAGUAAGACUAAUACCCAAUGACGUCUCUAGAAGACAUCUGAAAGAGAUUAAAGAUUUAUCGGUGAUGGAUGGGGAUGCGUCUGAUUAGCUUGGUUGGCGGGGUAACGGCCACAAGGCGACGAUCAGUAGGGUUCUGAGAGGAGGUCCCCCANAUUGGAACUGAGACACGGUCCAAACUCCGUAACGGGAGCA
rnacentral:rRNA from 1 species